UUUUCGGCAGAAACACCACUGAUGACUGACACCGCCGAUGUAUGUCAGACAAUGUCAGACGAUCUGACAGAUGUGCGUCUUAUUUGUAUUACUUGAUACUCAGAGCAAGGUAUCUUUUAUUUCAAAUAUUUAUUAAUGCAGAUUGUUCCAGUUCUUUUCUUACAUCUGGGAUGUUCACUUUUUUAUAAUUUAGUAUUCACCAAAUUAUAUAAUUAAAUGGCGGAUUAUAAGGAAAGAAAAGAGAGAAUGCGUAAAAAGCGCACUAACAAAGCAGAAUAUAAUAAAUUUCCUUCACCAAACAAUGUACAACAUUUAAAGAGUGAUCAGAAACUACGGACACCUGAAGAUGAAAUUUGCCAGAAAUUAUCUUCAAAUUGGGAUAGAUAUGAUGAGCUCCCAGAAAAUGAUGAUAAUUGUGCCAUCACUGAUUUUAAAACUCUUUUGAAUGCUCCGAUAUCAAAUGGAGGUCAUUUUGUAUUUAAGUUAGAAAAAAACUGGGCAAUCGAGAGCUCAAAAUACUCGAAAUUGUUUUCAUUGAACAUUAAACAAUUAGGGAAGGCUAUUGAUUGUAUUCCAUUCAAUCAGUAUAUUGAUGUGGAUGAUAAAUAUUUUACUAAAGAUCAAUUAACAGAAAUUCAUAAUACUGCAGAGAGAGCAAAAAUUGAUUAUUUGCAGAAGGUAGAAAUGAUUGAUUCUGUAGCAAGAGAUAUGCAAAAAUGUAAUAUAAAAUCUGACGACAUUAAGAUAGAGUCUGUGACUGUGCCUGAAGCACUUAUGAUCUCUGAAGAACACAAUACUACGCAAACUAACGAUGUGGAAGAAGAGCUAGAUUUUCUUCUUUCCUUGAAAGAACCCAUUAAAAGCGAUCCAAUCACAAUGACACAACCUUCGCGGUCUUAUUCUGAAGAGGUGAAAGCUCAAACAGCAGAUAAAAAUGCAAAAUCAAUUGAUCUUGAAAAAUGGUUGGACUCCGUUUUGGAUGAUUAACGUUGCUUUGAAAUAUACUAAAAUAGUCUUAUAGUAUUUAUUAAGGCACCGUACAAUCGAUACAAACAAUUUUUUACACACUUUUCGACCAUAAACUUGUGUUUAUGUCUGUCUAUAUAUCAGUCUGCAAAUGUUUCUGUCAAAUAAGUAUGCAUGUAAUCAUACACAACGAGCAUAAUAGCACCGCCUGGUCCCAAUCGAAGUAUUUUUGGCAAUAAUCCUUUAUAUAAUGCUCCAAAGCUAAAAUUUCAAAAGUAAAGCCUAUACCCACCUGAAAAGAAAAACGAAGAAUUAUUAUAGGACAAUAAUUCAAAAUUGGUUUAAUAUGAAUAAUAUCUAGUUUACUUUGGUAAAGAAUUCCAACCAGGGAUCAUCACAUAUUGGUAUAUAUCCUUUAACGGAAUGAUAGAAUCCGAAGUAAAAUGAAUUGAAUACAGCAUUUCUCAUAACCGUAGCGCACUCGUAGAUGGGCUAUCCUUCAUCCUUUUCCUGUUUGACUGUAACUGUACUUUAAUUACUUCAAAAGGAUUUACCAAAAUGCCUUCCGUAACACCAGCAAAAAAUCCAGCACAGGAAAACGUCUACAACAAGAAAUUCAUAAUUCCACUGUUUAUCUCUUAGUAUAAUUGUGAGUGAAAAUUUAUCCCAACUAGUAUCACAUAAAAUUAUUUGGAUUAAUUAAAUUCUUUUAUACUCACCAGUGGUGUAGGUGUAUUUGCACCAAAGAGGAAAAAUUGUUUAUACUGCUCAAAUGUAAAGAACUGAAAAAGAUAAAUAUAGUUUCAUAGUA